AGGACGAACGCUGGCGGCGUGCUUAACACAUGCAAGUCGAGCGGUAAGGCCCUUCGGGGUACACGAGCGGCGAACGGGUGAGUAACACGUGGGUGAUCUGCCCUGCACUCUGGGAUAAGCCUGGGAAACUGGGUCUAAUACUGGAUAUGACCUGUCCUCGCAUGGGGGUGGGUGGAAAGAUUUAUCGGUGCAGGAUGGGCCCGCGGCCUAUCAGCUUGUUGGUGGGGUAAUGGCCCACCAAGGCGACGACGGGUAGCCGACCUGAGAGGGUGACCGGCCACACUGGGGACUGAGACACGGCCCAGACUCCUACGGGAGGCAGCAGUGGGGAAUAUGCACAAUGGGCGAAAGGCCUGAAUGCAGCGACGCCGCGUGAGGAUGAAAGGCCGUUUCGGGUUGUAAAACCGUCUUUCGAGCGAGGACGAAGCGAGAGUGACGUACCAGCAAGAAGAAGCAACCGGACUAAACUACGUACGCCGACGCGAACGCCGAC
rnacentral:rRNA from 1 species